rnacentral:lncRNA from 1 species
UAAUACAAGAUUUGCAUAUUUUGAUUAAAAGAAUUAGUUUAAAAUUUAAAUGGUUAGAUCUUAAUUCAACGAUUAGUCACUAACUUUUUUAAUUGCAUGAAUACUCCAUGGUCCCAAAUCUGGUUUGACCUAAUUUUAUUGUGAUCCACUUGUGAGCACAUGGGUACAAAGAAUGCACAUGAAUGAUGUUCAUGUCCACUAUAUGACACAUUGAC